rnacentral:misc_RNA from 1 species
CCUUCAAAUUUAUUAACCUCUUCUUUUUCACCACAACCAAAAAUUGUCUUAGAAGUCAUGUGAGUAAGAAGAGAGUCAGAAAUACAGUUUUCUAAAAAUAUCUUUCUGCCUUUAAAAGCCUGAUCAAUAUGGUUGCCAUAAUUGGAUUGUUAAGGAGAUAGGACAAGGAGAAUCAUAGUUUUAUUUCAGGCACUGAUUUUUCCUAGUUUUCAAGGAUUACUCAGGGUUGCUGUUGAGAAGUAUUGGUGUAGAAUUUAAAAGGAAAGGAUGCCUAAAUUCUUAUUUUAACAAGACAUUGGGAAGUGUUGGGUUGAUUUGUUUCUUUCAAUGCUGAUUGAUGAUGAAGAAAAUACGUUGUUCUUCUUGAAACUGACAGUUGCAUAUGGUUGUAAUAUAUUUUAGGAAGUUGAUUUUUGGCCUUUGGACCAUCUAGACAGCAGUACUGUGAAGGAUUUAAUUAAAUUUAAUCCGUUCAGUUGGAUGAUGAUGAGACUGAUAGAGGUUAUAAGAGUGAUAAGGUUAAGGGUAAUGAUGAUGAAAGAAGCCUUUUAAAUAGAAUUAAUAAAGAGUCUCCCAUGAUUGGGGACAUAAAUUGGAGUUUAAGGGCUUUUAGACUCUUUGAAGCUUAUGAUUUCAAGAAAAAAAAGAAGUCUACCAAAGAGUCGGUGAAUACCAAGGAGAAGAGUCCUAGCUUGCAUUGAGAAGCAUUUGAGGUUAUGAAGGGCUAGGCCACCCCAAUGGCUGAGGCCAAUGCUUCCCCUAUAAAGGCUAGGCCCAUUGUUUCACAUCUCCUGUGGAAUUUGUGCUGCCUCACUUGAUGCCAAUCACUGGCUAAAAAUAUAAAACAAGUCCUUAACUCUGUGUGCACAUGUGUCUGUUUGGAAAACAAAAUAAUAAAGAAGCUAUAACAGAUGUUUUUAUUUGUUGGUUGAGAGCCUUUCAUCUAUGGUAAAUAUGCAAUGAAAACUUCACAAAAAAGGUGAUAUUUUUACAUGACAAGGCCUAUUAUGGUUGGAGGUUGAGACCAUGAUAAAUAAUUAACCCCUUGGCACUUGGGAUGAUAUUUUUCCAAAUGAGAAUGGGUGUGCAUUACAAAAAAAUGUUCCCAUUUCCUGCACUCCACUCCCAAAAUAGGAAAAACAAAACAGUUCCUCCUUGUCUUAAUCUAUUUUCCCUUUAUGUCUUUCAACUUAUUCUGUAAGAGCAUGCAAGACAUAGCUUCUGAUAUUUGGUCUGACUUUUUAAUUUAAAGUUCUAUCUUCUGGAAAGUUAAAUCUUAAUCAUUUGUGUCUGCAGGUCCAAUUAUUUACAGAUCAGGAGACCUUCUGUUUAUUGGGUAAGGCUAAAACAUUGGUUAACCAACAUGGUGGCUGUUUGUUGUUCUCUCUUGUUGGUGGAGGACAAAUUUAGUUAUAGUUUAAAAAUAAACUCAGUGGAUUAUUUGUAUGCUCAUGCUGUGAAUUUUUCAGGCAAAGAACAUGCACUUCUCAU